UGGGCGCAAGCCUGAUCCAGCCAUGCCGCGUGUGGAAGAAGGCCUUCGGGUUGUAAAGCACUUUUGUCCGGAAAGAAAAGCCUUGGGUUAAUACCCUGAGGUCAUGACGGUACCGGAAGAAUAAGCACCGGCUAACUUCGUGCCAGCAGCCGCGGUAAUACGAAGGGUGCAAGCGUUACUCGGAAUUACUGGGCGUAAAGCGUGCGUAGGUGGUUUGUUAAGUCUGAUGUGAAAGCCCUGGGCUCAACCUGGGAAUGGCAUUGGAAACUGGCUGACUAGAGUGCGGAGAGGGUAGUGGAAUUCCCGGUGUAGCAGUGAAUGCGUAGAUAUCGGGAGGAACAUCUGUGGCGAAGGCGACUCCUGGACCAGCACUGCACUGAGGCCGAAAGCGUGGGGAGCAAACAGGAUUAGAUACCCUGGUAGUCCACGCCCUAAACGAUGCGAACUGGAUGUUGGGAGCAACUUGGCUCUCAGUAUCGAAGCUAACGCGUAAGUUCGCCGCCUGGGAAGUACGGUCGCAAGACUGAAACUCAAAGGAAUUGACGGG
rnacentral:rRNA from 1 species